GUUAGUUGCCAGUCAGGUCAUGCUGGGACUCUACAAACUGCCCGCGUAAGCGUGGAGGAAGUGGGGAUGACGUCAAAUCAGCACGGCCCUUACGUCCAGGGCUACACACGUGCUACAAUGGCCGGUACAGAGGGCAGCCACUUGGUGACAAGGAGCAAAUCUCAAAAGCCGGUCUCAGUUCGGAUCGGAGUCUGCAACUCGACUCCGUGAAGUUGGAUUCGCUAGUAAUCGUAGAUCAGCAAUGCUACGGUGAAUACGUUCCCGGGCCUU
rnacentral:rRNA from 1 species